rnacentral:tRNA from 1 species
GCAUCCUCCUGGCCGGAUUCAGGUCGUCUUCGAGACGACCGAUGCCGCGGCGGUGCGAACCGGCGACGAUGUGC